rnacentral:rRNA from 1 species
CAAGUCGAACGGCAGCACGGGAGCUUGCUCCUGGUGGCGAGUGGCGGACGGGUGAGUAACACGUAGGAAUCUGCCUAGUAGUGGGGGAUAACCCGGGGAAACCCGAGCUAAUACCGGAUACCUUCCUUUGGUCGCAUGGCUAUUGGAAGAAAGAUUUAUCGCUUCGGGAGGGGCUCGCGGCCUAUCAGCUAGUUGGUGAGGUAACGGCUCACCAAGGCAUCGACGGGUAGCUGGUCUGAGAGGACGAUCAGCCACACUGGGACUGAGACACGGCCCAGACUCCUACGGGAGGCAGCAGUGGGGAAUCUUGCGCAAUGGGCGAAAGCCUGACGCAGCAACGCCGCGUGCGAGAGGAAGGCCUUAGGGUUGUAAAUCGCUUUCGGCAGGGACGAAAUUGACGGUACCUGCAGAAGGAGCCCCGGCCAACUACGUGCCAGCAGCCGCGGUAACACGUAGGGGGCGAGCGUUGUCCGGAUUUAUUGGGCGUAAAGAGCUCGUAGGCGGCUCAGUAAGUCUGCUGUUAAAGCUCCAGGCUCAACCUGGAGAGGCCAGUGGAUACUGCUGUGGCUAGAGUCCGGUAGGGGAGCGUGGAAUUCCCAGUGUAGCGGUGGAAUGCGCAGAUAUUGGGAGGAACACCAGCGGCGAAGGCGGCGCUCUGGACCGGAACUGACGCUGAGGAGCGAAAGCGUGGGUAGCAAACAGGAUUAGAUACCCUGGUAGUCCACGCCGUAAACGUUGGGCACUAGGUGUGGGAUCCCGUCAACGGAUUCCGUGCCGUAGCUAACGCAUUAAGUGCCCCGCCUGGGGAGUACGGCCGCAAGGCUAAAACUCAAAGGAAUUGACGG